rnacentral:rRNA from 1 species
AACGCUAGCUACAGGCUUAACACAUGCAAGUCGAGGGGCAGCAUGGUCUUAGCUUGCUAAGGCUGAUGGCGACCGGCGCACGGGUGAGUAACACGUAUCCAACCUGCCGUCUACUCUUGGCCAGCCUUCUGAAAGAAAGAUUAAUACCCGAUGGCAUAGUUCUUCCGCAUGGUAGAACUAUUAAAGAAUUUCGGUCAUCGAUGGGGAUGCGUUCCAUUAGGUUGUUGGCGGGGUAACGGCCCACCAAGCCUUCGAUGGAUAGGGGUUCUGAGAGGAAGGUCCCCCACAUUGGAACUGAGACACGGUCCCAACUCCUACGGGAGGCAGCAGUGGGGAAUAUUGGUCAAUGGACGAGAGUCUGAACCAGCCAAGUAGCGUGAAGGAUGACCGCCCUAUGGGUUGUAAACUUCUUUUAUACGGGAAUAAAGUGAGGCACGUGUGCCUUUUUGUAUGUACCGUAUGAAUAAGGAUCGGCUAACUCCGUGCCAGCAGCCGCGGUAAUACGGAGGAUUCGAGCGUUAUCCGGAUUUAUUGGGUUUAAAGGGAGCGUAGGCGGACGCUUAAGUCAGUUGUGAAAGUUUGCGGCUCAACCGUAAAAUUGCAGUUGAUACUGGGUGUCUUGAGUACAGUAGAGGCAGGCGGAAUUCGUGGUGUAGCGGUGAAAUGCUUAGAUAUCACGAAGAACUCCGAUUG